rnacentral:rRNA from 1 species
UAGGGAAUAUUGGUCAAUGGGGGCAACCCUGAACCAGCCAUGCCGCGUGCAGGAUUAAGGCCCUAUGGGUCGUAAACUGCUUUUGUACGGGAAGAAAUCACAUUACGUGUAAUGUGUUGACGGUACCGUGAGAAUAAGGAUCGGCUAACUUCGUGCCAGCAGCCGCGGUAAUACGAAGGAUCCAAGCGUUGUCCGGAUUUACUGGGUUUAAAGGGUGCGUAGGCGGGCUAUUAAGUCAGUGGUGAAAGCUUGCAGCUUAACUGUAAAAUUGCCAUUGAAACUGAUAGCCUCGAAUAUGGUUGAGGUGGUUGGAAUGUAUCAUGUAGCGGUGAAAUGCUUAGAUAUGAUACAGAACACCGAUUGCGAAGGCAGAUCACUAAACCAUUAUUGACGCUGAGGCACGAAAGCGUGGGGAUCAAACAGG